rnacentral:rRNA from 1 species
AUUGAACGCUGGCGGCAGGCUUAACACAUGCAAGUCGAGGGGUAUAGUUCUUCGGAGCUAGAGACCGGCGCACGGGUGCGUAACGCGUAUGCAAUCUACCUUUUGCAGAGGGAUAGCCCAGAGAAAUUUGGAUUAAUACCUCAUAGUAUGUGAGAAUGGCAUCAUUUUCACAUUAAAGUCACAACGGCAAAAGAUGAGCAUGCGUCCCAUUAGCUUGUUGGUAAGGUAACGGCUUACCAAGGCAACGAUGGGUAGGGGUCCUGAGAGGGAGAUCCCCCACACUGGUACUGAGACACGGACCAGACUCCUACGGGAGGCAGCAGUGAGGAAUAUUGGACAAUGGGCGCAAGCCUGAUCCAGCCAUGCCGCGUGCAGGAUGACGGUCCUAUGGAUUGUAAACUGCUUUUGUACAGGAAGAAACACUGGUUCGUGAACCAGCUUGACGGUACUGUAAGAAUAAGGAUCGGCUAACUCCGUGCCAGCCGCCGCGGUAAGAC